rnacentral:tRNA from 1 species
AGGGGUAUAGCUCAAUUGGCAGAGCAGUUGAUUCCAAAUCAACAGGUUCGGGGUUCAAGUCCUCGUGCCCCUG